rnacentral:tRNA from 1 species
UCCCUGGUAGUAUAUCGGUUAGUACACGCGCCUGUCAUUCAUUCAUGGCCGCGCGAAAGCGGGGUUCGACUCCCCGCCAGGGAG